rnacentral:rRNA from 1 species
CCUACGGGAGGCUGCAGUGGGGAAUAUUGCACAAUGGGGGAAACCCUGAUGCAGCGACGCCGCGUGAGUGAAGAAGUAAUUCGUUACGUAAAGCUCUAUCAGCAGGGAAGAAACACCGACCUUACGGUCAGCAGACGGUACCUGAGUAAGAACCCCCGGCUAACUACGUGCCAGCAGCCGCGGUAAUACGGAGGGGGCAAGCGGUAUCCGGAUUUACUGGGUGUAAAGGGAGCGUAGACGGUGCGCCAAGUCUGGAGUGAAAGGCCGCAGCUUAACUGCGGAACUGCUUUUGAAACUGGCGAACUAGAGUGCAGGAGGGGUAAGCGGAAUUCCUAGUGUAGCGGUGAAAUGCGUAGAUAUUAGGAGGAACACCGGUGGCGAAGGCGGCUUACUGGACCGUAACUGACGUUGAGGCUCGAAAGCGUGGGGAGCAAACAGGAUUAGAUACCCCAGUAGUC